CCUACGUGAGGCAGCAGUGGGGAAUAUUGCACAAUGGGGGAAACCCUGAUGCCGCGACGCCGCGUGAGUGAAUAAGUAAUUCGUUAUGUAAAGCUCUAUCAGCAGGGACGAAAAUGACGUUACCUGAGUAAGAAGCCCCGGCUAACUACGUGCCAGCAGCCGCGGUAAUACGUAGGGGGCACGCUUUAUCCGGAUUUACUGGGUGUAAAGGGAGCGUAGACGGCAGUGCAAGUCUGGAGUGAAAGGCGGGGGCUCAACCCCCGGACUGCUCUGGAAACUGUACGGCUGGAGUGCAGGAGAGGUAAGUGGAAUUCCUAGUGUAGCGGUGAAAUGCGUAGAUAUUAGGAGGAACACCAGUGGCGAAGGCGGCUUACUGGACUGUAACUGACGUUGAGGCUCGAAAGCGUGGGGAGCAAACAGGAUUAGAUACCCUUGUAGUC
rnacentral:rRNA from 1 species